UACGGGGGGGGGCAAGCGUUGUUCGGAAUUACUGGGCGUAAAGGGCUCGUAGGCGGCCAACUAAGUCGGAUGUGAAAUCCCCCCGGCUUAACCUGGGAACUGCGUCUGAUACUGGAAGGCUUGAGUAUGGGAGAGGGAUGUAGAAUUCCAGGUGUAGCGGUGAAAUGCGUAGAUAUCUGGAGGAAUACCGGUGGCGAAGGCGGCAUCCUGGACCAUUACUGACGCUGAGGCGCGAAAGCUAGGGGAGCAAACGGG
rnacentral:rRNA from 1 species